AGAUGAGAGGGGAACUCGUCGCAGGGUGGGGGUAAUGGCACAAAAUGUCGCAAGAAAACAGCACCAUCACAGAGAAUAUAUGGACACCACUACAGCAUCUGCACAGGGUCUAUUCCAACUGAGAGCGAAAACUGGAUUAAAUCUACCUUUGGACCUUUGACUUGUUUUUGGUCAUGCCGGAUUUAUCAAGGAAACAGUCGUGGCAUAACCUGCAGGAUCAGAUGACACAGGCGGACUCCUCACUGGCCGCAGCAUUGUGUAACACCAGCCAGUGCUGUGUUUAUCGUCCUGGACUGUUGGGGGAGACGUCCUGUCCUGUACUGGAUCGGCACAAAAGGCCAAGAGAAAGAAUGUCAUGCUUUGGGGAAUAUUAAGAUAAGAAUGAUAAUUUGGGCCUAAUCAAAAUAGACCAAAAGACGUAAAAAUGCAACUACCACAGGGUGUCUUUCUCUCACCGGCCCCCCCCCCUCUGUGAAUAAGCGUCCAGGCAAAGUGUUUCAUGGUCAGAGGAGGUGUAAAGGGAUUUGUGUGGAAGAUGGACAGUAUGGAAGUCGGGCUGAGAAGCGCUGAGAGUGUGAAUCAGAUGUUUGAACCCGACAGAGGGGUAAAAUGAAAAAUAAUAGGGUGUCAGAGAAGUUGCUGGUGAGAGAUUAGACUGAUCUGCAGAGGAGAGAUGGCCAAAACUUCUGCUGUGAUUUCUCAUUACUUGAUGGUUAAAAAAAAAACAAGUGUAGCUUUGGAAAUCAGUGAAAAUCCAGAAGAAGGCUGCAUAGAAACUGAAGUAGUAAACGAUGUCAUUCCAAACAUGCAAGUUCAAAGAUGUGUUGACGUUGUCUAUUAUUUGAGCAGAGAAAGGUGGGUAGUGGCCCCCUGUACUAUUGCUCAGAAUUUAUAAAGCCACCCACUUGCAAAAGCAUGUCCAUGAGAUAUGAAUAUGUAGUUUACUACAGCACAGAACAUUUUAUUCUCUACUCUAGAGCCACGCCCCAGAAGAGCUCAAACCUCAGCCAAGAUGCACCACAUCAGCGCCCUCCCUCCUUUCACUCCCCGUUCCUCUUGUUUACAGGAAGCAGCUGAGGGAAUCACACCUAACCUCAGACCUGUCAAGUCUCACUCAUCUUAUCUAUGUUUUUUUUAGGUCCACCGUGUCCACAGCAACACUGCUCCUCCAGGCAUGGACGACGGCAUGAGAGCUCUUAGCCAAACUAAAGAAACAAUACAGUACAUUUUUUAAACACUACAGUACAGCAUGUGGUCUUUUAAACAAAUUGCCUGGUGGGUGAUUUUCAACAUUUGGUCAAAAUCAGCUAAGAUAAACACAAAAGUUAAAGUGUAUGAAAAAUCCCACUGGGUGCACGAAGCUCCAGCCCUACCGUGUUAAGAUAAAACCUGUUGCUAGUGGCAACUGCAUAGAGAUACAGGAUCACCAUGACACUGCUGUCACUGUGGACAUGAUAAAUAUCACCAAGUCUCUUUAAAGCCAUUGACACAAAGUUCCUUUUCUGAUGCUGUCAGGUAGAAAUCGUUGCAGCUAAAAUCAUAGUUUCAAGAUUUUAAGUUGCAACUUUUUCACCUGAUGUCAGCCGUCUCUUUAUUAUUCUUAAAUUCAAGUUUUUGGUUUCAGUUUACCACAAGACAACUUUAUUGUAAUGUCAAGUCCCUGACACAGGCCUCGUGGAGAAUAAUGUUACCUGUGGAGGUGAAAAUGUUUGAUCAGGUUUUCCUUUAUUAUACACAAAUGUCUAUUGCUGUACAUGUGUGUCUAAUUAAAAUGUGCUCAUUCUGUAUGACACUGUAAACAAGACCCUGAAAUAUUAAGCAGACAUUGGGCGACUUUCUGUGCCUGGUCCUGUGACCCAAAUGAUACCAGAUGACAUAAAUACACAUUUAAAAAAAAUGACUGUGAUGCCAAUUUGUCUUUGUUAUGACCCCCAGUUACAGACCCAGACCUGAACAGAAACAGCCCCCUAUCCCUGAAGUCCCACAAAAAGACUUCAUCAAAUGAAUUGUUAGGAAUUGAAAAUGUUAAUCUCUGUGUGUGCUGAUUGUAUUUAAAAUAUGUAUGAUGUGACAGUGAGGGAAAAGAGGUCAGACUUUAUAUAUACACACAUGUAUUAGGGGAAUAUAAAAAAAAAGCUUGGCCUGGUGUACUAAUCUAGCACUAACGUCAGCUACACUACUGUAGCCAGGCAGCAGUUCAAGCUGUGGAAAAGAGCUGUGUCUCAGCAGCACGACAGAGCCUGGAUCCUGUAUCCUGCACCAACAUGACGCCCAGCCUGCUCGAAUGCACAGCCAGAGGCCCACUGCUGAUUCAGGAUCUCUCUCCUGUACGAACACACUUUGACUACUUGAAUCAACUCUGACCAGAACGGCAUCACGAUGAAAAACAACAAAAUAAACAAACUGGGUCAGUAACAUCACGAAUGAGGAGACGAAGAUCUGACAGCGCCACAGACUUACCUGGCAGAAGUUGCCCUCUACCCUGAACCUAAUCAAUGUCAUGUUGUUCAUUAGAAAAUGGAAAGAAACUAUGUAGUAAGCAUUACUGAUGGAAAGCUGUUUGAGAUUUAUUUCUGUAUUGUCCUGUGAGUUUGUCAUUAAAACGCUUAAAUGAUUAAAUCUGUCUUAGUAUGGUCAGGCCAAACUGGAAACAACAGUUUUUUUGUGCCCUCGCUAAUCUUCUUCUCUGUGUUGUAAGUCCAUUGUGAAAACUUUUCUUUCUUUGCAGCCAUGUUCUGUGUGAUGCUGAGUGUUUUGCUUCACUGUACGUGUCACUAAAAUGCAGACAGGACCUUGGACAGAAAGGUCCUGGAAUAAAAACGCUUGAUUGUGUGUCUA